rnacentral:rRNA from 1 species
UACAGAGGUCCCAAGCGUUGUUCGGAUUCACUGGGCGUAAAGGGUGCGCAGGUGGGCUGGUAAGUUCGAUGUGAAAGCCCCGGGCUUAACCCGGGAAUGGCAUUGGAUACUACUGGUCUGGAGGAUCGGAGGGGGGACUGGAAUUCUUGGUGUAGCAGUGAAAUGCGUAGAUAUCAAGAGGAACACCAGUGGCGAGGGCGAGUCCCUGGACGAUACCUGACACUGAGGCACGAAAGCCAAGGGAGCAAACAGG